AAGAUAUUAAAAAGAGAAAAGGCAGAAAGAAUGUGAAUAGUAGCAAAAAUAGGGGUUGAGCAGGGACAACAACUUUAUCUUUCGUUCAGGUGACAGGUGAUUUUUUUGUGAAUAACCUGCUCCAUUUCUCACAGGUUUACAAGAAACAGCUUAAUUGUAUUUCAUUUUCUUGAUUUAUAUUUUAAAACUCCGCAUCUACCAGUAGUGUAUUAACCUUUUAUGGGAUUAUAGUAACCUAAUCAUUUGGGUGUUGUAAACUUAUUAUAUGAUUGUACUUGGAUGUAUGAGAUGAGUAUUUCCUUGGAUGGGAGAGCUGAGCUUCAAUUGAAUUAUUUAUCAGAUUGAGGAUUGCAAGGGAG
rnacentral:misc_RNA from 1 species